rnacentral:rRNA from 1 species
AGAGUUUGAUCCUGGCUCAGGACGAACGCUGGCGGCGCGCCUAACACAUGCAAGUCGAACGAGCGAGAGAGAGCUUGCUUUCUCGAGCGAGUGGCGAACGGGUGAGUAACGCGUGAGGAACCUGCCUCAAAGAGGGGGACAACAGUUGGAAACGACUGCUAAUACCGCAUAAGCCCACGGCUCGGCAUCGAGCAGAGGGAAAAGGAGCAAUCCGCUUUGAGAUGGCCUCGCGUCCGAUUAGCUAGUUGGUGAGGUAACGGCCCACCAAGGCAACGAUCGGUAGCCGGACUGAGAGGUUGAACGGCCACAUUGGGACUGAGACACGGCCCAGACUCCUACGGGAGGCAGCAGUGGGGAAUAUUGCACAAUGGGGGAAACCCUGAUGCAGCGACGCCGCGUGGAGGAAGAAGGUCUUCGGAUUGUAAACUCCUGUUGUUGAGGAAGAUAAUGACGGUACUCAACAAGGAAGUGACGGCUAACUACGUGCCAGCAGCCGCGGUAAAACGUAGGUCACAAGCGUUGUCCGGAAUUACUGGGUGUAAAGGGAGCGCAGGCGGGAAGGCAAGUUGGAAGUGAAAUCCAUGGGCUCAACCCAUGAACUGCUUUCAAAACUGUUUUUCUUGAGUAGUGCAGAGGUAGGCGGAAUUCCCGGUGUAGCGGUGGAAUGCGUAGAUAUCGGGAGGAACACCAGUGGCGAAGGCGGCCUACUGGGCACCAACUGACGCUGAGGCUCGAAAGUGUGGGUAGCAAACAGGAUUAGAUACCCUGGUAGUCCACACUGUAAACGAUGAUUACUAGGUGUUGGAGGAUUGACCCCUUCAGUGCCGCAGUUAACACAAUAAGUAAUCCACCUGGGGAGUACGACCGCAAGGUUGAAACUCAAAGGAAUUGACGGGGGCCCGCACAAGCAGUGGAGUAUGUGGUUUAAUUCGACGCAACGCGAAGAACCUUACCAAGUCUUGACAUCCUGCGACGCACAUAGAAAUAUGUGUUUCCUUCGGGACGCAGAGACAGGUGGUGCAUGGUUGUCGUCAGCUCGUGUCGUGAGAUGUUGGGUUAAGUCCCGCAACGAGCGCAACCCUUAUGGUCAGUUACUACGCAAGAGGACUCUGGCCAGACUGCCGUUGACAAAACGGAGGAAGGUGGGGAUGACGUCAAAUCAUCAUGCCCUUUAUGACUUGGGCUACACACGUACUACAAUGGCGUUAAACAAAGAGAAGCAAGACCGCGAGGUGGAGCAAAACUCAGAAACAACGUCCCAGUUCGGACUGCAGGCUGCAACUCGCCUGCACGAAGUCGGAAUUGCUAGUAAUCGCAGAUCAGCAUGCUGCGGUGAAUACGUUCCCGGGCCUUGCACACACCGCCCGUCA